CAAGUACUCCCUUCGUCCAAAAUUACUUGUCAUCAAAAUGGAUGUGUCUAGAACUAAAAUACAUCUAGAUACAUCCAUUUCACUGACAAGUAUUUUCGGACGGAGGGAAUACAAG
rnacentral:pre_miRNA from 1 species